AGAGUUUGAUCAUGGCUCAGGACGAACGCUGGCGGCGUGCUUAACACAUGCAAGUCGAACGGAAAGGCCCUUCGGGGUACUCGAGUGGCGAACGGGCGAGUAACACGUGGGUGAUCUGCCCUGCACUCUGGGAUAAGCCUGGGAAACUGGGUCUAAUACCGGAUAGGACCGCAUGCUUCAUGGUGUGUGGUGCAAAGCUUUUGCGGUGUGGGAUGAGCCCGCGGCCUAUCAGCUUGUUGGUGGGGUAAUGGCCUACCAAGGCGACGACGGGUAGCCGGCCUGAGAGGGUGACCGGCCACACUGGGACUGAGAUACGGCCCAGACUCCUACGGGAGGCGGCAGUGGGGAAUAUUGCACAAUGGGCGCAAGCCUGAUGCAGCGACGCCGCGUGAGGGAUGACGGCCUUCGGGUUGUAAACCUCUUUCACCAGGGACGAAGCGCAAGUGACGGUACCUGGAGAAGAAGCACCGGCCAACUACGUGCCAGCAGCCGCGGUAAUACGUAGGGUGCGAGCGUUGUCCGGAAUUACUGGGCGUAAAGAGCUCGUAGGUGGUUUGUCGCGUUGUUCGUGAAAACUCACAGCUUAACUGUGGGCGUGCGGGCGAUACGGGCAGACUAGAGUACUGCAGGGGAGACUGGAAUUCCUGGUGUAGCGGUGGAAUGCGCAGAUAUCAGGAGGAACACCGGUGGCGAAGGCGGGUCUCUGGGCAGUAACUGACGCUGAGGAGCGAAAGCGUGGGGAGCGAACAGGAUUAGAUACCCCGGUAGUCCAA
rnacentral:rRNA from 1 species